UAAUAACAGGUGGCAGGUUUAAAGAACUCUUAACCGUGAUCCAAUGAAUGUGCUGCUGGUGCCUUAUGUGAACAAGGAGAAACAGACAAACACUUGGAUUACCCAGAAGAAGCACCAGAUCUCAGUAAGCCUGAAGUUUGUGAAGGGGUUGAGCUGAGCAGUGAGUCCUCUGCCCUUGUAAAGUGUCAGCAGUGUUUGUUCUAUGUGGAUUCUAAACUCAAGGAGCUUGGUCGAUCAAAUGCCAGCCACAACCAUUGCUCCCUCCAAGUAAAGGGGUCAGAGCUGCCUGGGUGGAAGCCCAGAGGGCUGUGGUCAAAGGUCACCGUCCAGUGUCAUUAUGAAGAAGAGAAGAAGAAAAGGCAAUACCAUGACAUAAUUAUGUUUUUAUGUAGCUGCCUCACACUUUUCCUCCACUUUGCCACCAUAGUGCUUUUUUGGUUUUCUGUGCAUAAACAGUACAGUGGGCUGGCACACAACAUAUAAGCAUGUUAUAAAUGAGUAACCGUUGGAAUUGUGGUUUAUUGAAAGGAUUUGAUGAUUUGAUGUUUCCUUUCAAAUAGUCAUUUGUCCUCAUCCCUUUGUUACAAUAACAGGAAGGUGAAGAUGAUUUGUGCUAUGCCACCUUGUCCCAUGCUGGUGCUCCUCCAUCCUACUCAGUCAAGUUUGAACAAGGCCAUGACUAGGCCACAGUGGUCAUAUACUGACCAGCAUUGCCGAACUGAAUGGACAUGAAAGGACUUCCAAAUGGAUAGAUUGCUUGACUUAAACACCUACAUUUCAAUUUUCUUUCCAAGAAAUCAUUUGCAUAAAUCUAUUUGCAAUGUAGUUUUGAUUAUCCAAUUUGUCACAUUAAGAGAACAAUAAAGUUUUUGUAUUCCAC
ensembl:lncRNA